GACGAACGCUGGCGGCGUGCUUAACACAUGCAAGUCGAACGGAAAGGCCCUGCUUUUGUGGGGUGCUCGAGUGGCGAACGGGUGAGUAACACGUGAGUAACCUGCCCUUGACUUUGGGAUAACUUCAGGAAACUGGGGCUAAUACCGGAUAGGAGCUCCUGCUGCAUGGUGGGGGUUGGAAAGUUUCGGCGGUUGGGGAUGGACUCGCGGCUUAUCAGCUUGUUGGUGGGGUAGUGGCUUACCAAGGCUUUGUCGGCUAGCCGGCCUGAGAGGGUGACCGGCCACAAUGGGACGAAAGUACAGCCCGGGCGCCUACUGGAGGCAGCAGUGGAGAAGGUGGCACAAUGGGCGGAGGCCUGAUGCAGCAACGCCGCGUGCGGGAUGGCGGCCUUCGGGUAGUAAACCACUUUCGCCUGGUACGAAGCGUGAGUGACGGUAAUGGAUAAAGAAACACCGGCUAACUACGUG
rnacentral:rRNA from 1 species